AGAAAGGUAAGCUAAAUUAAGCUACCAGGUUCAUACCCUGUUUAUAGAGAUAAACCUCUCCUCUCUA
rnacentral:tRNA from 1 species